CUCCUCACCGCUUAGCCCUUUUCCCUUCAGCUACCACCUACCCAGCUCCCCUGUGCAGCCGCCGGCGCGUCAUGGGGCGCAUCCGCACGGGGCGCGACGGUGCGAGGCGAGGAACCAAUCCCUGGCCCAACCUCCCAUCCCCCCGCCUCCGAACCAUUCUUACGGCCUGGCUGCGCCCUCGCGAGCAUCCCACACCCACUCCCAUCACUCCCUGGUGUCCGGCGAGAUCCGCCGGGCAGGGCUCUCGCGGACGCGCGCGCAGGCUGGGCGGCGGCAUCCACCGCGCAGCGCCCCCUGCCCCGACACGCCGGUCGGAAUCUUCUGCUGGCAACGCCCGGCGACCGGCGCGCGCCGUGCAGCCCGAGGAGACCCUGCAACAAGCCGUGCUCGCCCGGAUGGGCGGAGUACGAGCAGGAGUGGAUUCCGUGGUGCACCACGACGUCGACGGCUUCUCUUCGCCACCGAGCUCUGCUCCCCUCCCUGUGCAUCAGGAUGAAGCUUAAACAGGUACAGGACGGGCAGAUGUCGCGAAAGGAAUACUCAUGGUUUCUGAAGACUGACUAUGCCUGAGUACUACACAGCAACAAACUCAGCUUAAACAGGUACAGGACGGGCAGAUGUCGCGAAAGGAAUACUCAUGGUUUCUGAAGACUGACUAUGCCUGAGUACUACACAGCAACAAACUCAGCAAUGUGCUCGGGGACAGUGUCUUCAGUAUCGAGUCCAAGUGCUAUGUCUGAACCAAUAUUAUGAUCAAUGCUUCUCUCUGUUCCUCGAAGUGAUGCAUGGUGAUCAUAGUAAGUGCCUUCACGAGAAUGAUUUCCUGAAGAACCAUUUUGUUUUAACAAAUGUAUAAAUGCAAACUGAAAAAAAGUCGUGUGUAAGGGCGAUACCGAUUGAUGUUUUCACAUGCGGCACUGGCUGAAAGGCCUUGAGAUUGCCGGCUAUAGGAAUCAUCAUAGGCAGUUGCGUGGGCACAUUGUCAUCAUCAUCGGAAGACGAAACACUGUAGUUAGUAGUGCCUGUUUGUUCGCGUAUGAAAAAAUCAGAUGGUGGUCGGUGUGUAUUGGUGAGUUGUGAUCUGGGUGUCCUCUCAUAUUCGACAACUGAUAAGAUUAAUGUAAGUUAAGUUGUGAAGCUUAUUGAAUACCUUAUGUGCAGACAUGUGAUUGGCAUACACAUACCUUUUUUUCCUUUAUCAUAGAGAUGCUCUCUGUCCUGUGACAUCUUUCUGUCCUAUAGAAGCUUAAAUAAACCUGCAGUAUUUUUGCAUUAAAAAAUUAUAUGAAUUGAAUUAUAAAAUGAUAUGACCUCUGGUGACUCAUUUAACAGGCUUUUUGGACUCACUUGUUCAUUUUCAUAGACAUGUUCUUCGCAUAUGGUUUUAAAAUGAUUGUUAUAUGUUGACGGCUGAAGUUUGUAUAUUUCAGUUUAUAAAGUGCAAGAUUUUGUAGAAGUUCAAAUUUUUUAAAAGAGGGCUCAGACAUGGCGACAAGAAUGAAGGUGGAGGGGAAGGAGUGGAGAGAAAGAUGUCUGUCUCCACAUGGUGCGAAAAAGACAAUCUGGAAUAUAAAGGAUUCUGGAGGAGUCUAGGAUGGCAAACCUAGGGCGUGAUGGGCGAUAUCCGUCCUUUGCCGUCGGAGAGGAAGAAGACGGUAGGCGGGCUCAGGAGAUGACGCAGAAACAGCCGUCGAGCGAGGCGAUCAGCAGAGGCUGCAGCUCCCACAGCUCGCAUUUCUGUUUUGGCGGCGUGCGUUCGCGUGUGGAUGGAGCUCUUACGCCAGGAAGAACUGGCGUCUCGACGCCAGGAGGAAGAACUGGCGUCUCGAUGGAGCUCGUACACCAGGAAGAGUACGCCAGGAAGAACUGGCGUUCGUUGGCGGGGGGAAGAAGUUUGGUCGAUGGACCUCGUCCUCGUUCGUGGGUUGCGGGGGCGAUCGUGGGGUUCCAUGGACUUCGUUCGUGUGUAGAAUACGUGGGCUGAGUUGGUGUAUUUUUGUUUUGUUUGCGGGCGGUGAGUUGGUGAUUUUUCGUACGUGGGCUGAGUUGGUGGGCUGCUGCGUGCGUGCGGCAGUUCGGGCGACGAAGGGAGGGGGUAUCGAUCGAGGUCGAACCAUCACGAAACGUUCGAUCCCCCUUUAAUAGUAGAGAUAAAUCGAAGAAACUACUUCAACACCUGAUCCAGAGUGGUAUAAUUGCUUAUCUUUUUGCACAGGGAA